rnacentral:rRNA from 1 species
AGUGAACGCUGGCGGUAGGCCUAACACAUGCAAGUCGAACGGCAGCACAGUAAGAGCUUGCUCUUACGGGUGGCGAGUGGCGGACGGGUGAGGAAUACAUCGGAAUCUACUUUUUCGUGGGGGAUAACGUAGGGAAACUUACGCUAAUACCGCAUACGACCUACGGGUGAAAGCAGGGGAUCUUCGGACCUUGCGCGAUUGAAUGAACCGAUGUCGGAUUAGCUAGUUGGCGGGGUAAAGGCCCACCAAGGCGACGAUCCGUAGCUGGUCUGAGAGGAUGAUCAGCCACACUGGAACUGAGACACGGUCCAGACUCCUACGGGAGGCAGCAGUGGGGAAUAUUGGACAAUGGGCGCAAGCCUGAUCCAGCCAUACCGCGUGGGUGAAGAAGGCCUUCGGGUUGUAAAGCCCCUUUGUUGGGAAAGAAAAGCAGCAGGUUAAUACCCCGCUGUUCUGACGGUACCCAAAGAAUAAGCACCGGCUAACUUCGUG